rnacentral:rRNA from 1 species
AACGAACGCUGGCGGCAUGCCUAACACAUGCAAGUCGAACGAGCCCUUCGGGUCUUGUGGCGCACGGGUGCGUAACGCGUGGGAACCUGCCCUUAGGUUCGGCAUACCUCCCCGAAAGGGGUGCUAAUACCGGAUAAUGUCUUCGGACCAAAGAUUUAUCGCCUUUGGAUGGGCCCGCGUUGGAUUAGCUAGUUGGUAGGGUAAAAGCCUACCAAGGCGACGAUCCAUAGCUGGUCUGAGAGGAUGAUCAGCCACACUGGGACUGAGACACGGCCCAGACUCCUACGGGAGGCAGCAGUGGGGGAUAUUGGACAAUGGGCGAAAGCCUGAUCCAGCAACGCCGCGUGAGUGAUGAAGGCCUUAGGGUUGUAAAGCUCUUUUACCCGGGAUGAUAAUGACGGUACCGGGAGAAUAAGCACCGGCUAACUACGUG